UACGUAGGGUGCGAGCGUUAAUCGGAAUUACUGGGCGUAAAGCGUGCGCAGGCGGUUGGUUAAGACAGGUGUGAAAUCCCCGAGCUCAACUUGGGAAUUGCGCUUGUUAACUGGCCAGCUAGAGUGUGUCAGAGGGAGGUAGAAUUCCACGUGUAGCAGUGAAAUGCGUAGAGAUGUGGAGGAAUACCGAUGGCGAAGGCAGCCUCCUGGGAGUAACACUGACGCUCGAUGCACGAA
rnacentral:rRNA from 1 species